rnacentral:lncRNA from 1 species
GGAGGGGGAUGUUCACAGACUUCAGGAUGAAAACACGACUCCUCUCCUUAGACUGGGAGACUAAGCGCAUUUUAUUAUUUGAUCAGUACAUUAAAUGCCAUCGGGACGGAGUGUGUGUUCCAUUAUGCCGGUGUCUCAUGCCUGUUCAAAAUGAGGUUCGGGAAUGCUCUCCUGGCUGACGCAAUUUUGAGACAGUUUUCAGACGGAGCUUCCAGAGAGUUCUUCCAAAGCAAUAACGCCAUAGGGGGCUACGAAAUUGGGACCACUUAAGGACAAAUAAUUUUGAUGCUUGCUUUUGGUGCUUGGCGUUUUAUUACAGGCGUGGCCUCAUGCCACUAUAUAGGCUCCAAAAACACGACUGAAAACAGGUUGCACCUUAUUCCAUCCUGUGGGUGCCCGUGCUCCUUGACAGUCUGACAAAGCCAGCUGCCGGUUCACUCCAGUCCCCGGGAAGUGGAGUCUGAGGAGGAACGUGACGUCGCAUGAGUGUGGACAAUAUAAUCUCCCCACACUGGGACCCACGGCAUGGCCGGGGAGCAGCCUGCACCAGCUCAGGGGGCAGGGAAAACAGCUUCCUUCAAACAAGGGGCUCUCAACCAGGGGUGAUUAUGCUUCCCAGGUGACAUGUGGCAAUGCCUGGAGACAUUCUGGUUGUCACAAGUUGGGGACUAUUACCGGUAUUUGUGGGGGUAGAGGCCAGGGAUGCUGCCAAACACCCUACAGUGCACGGGACAGCUGCCUGCCACCAAGGUGAGAAUUAUCCAGCCCCGAAGGUCCAAGUGCCAAGGUUGGAAACUCUGAGACAUGCUGCGUCGAGAGUGUCUGCAGCCAGUUGUUGGGCAGACGGGGGAGGUUCAGAGAAGUGCACUGGAUGGAGGGCCCGUGACCAGGGCCGUGUGAACACGGGUUCUAGGACGACGGUGGUGAUGUGACAUAGCUAACGCUCAUUCCAAGUGCUUACUCCAUGCCGGGCUGCGAGCUCGAGGUCGAUGAUCUUGUUUAACUUCUACAACUGCAGAAAGGUACUGUUACAACCCCACUUUGUAGAGAAUCAACCAAAGACACACACAGCUGGUAAAGGAAGGGCAAGGAGAUUCUUUCCUUCUUCACGUACUUUUUUCGGGGGUGGUGAUUUUGGGGAGGGAGGGGGUGUCUGGUUUCCCCCUACUCGCAGGGCCACGUGGCCCGGUAGUUAGAAGGUCGGCAUUGAAGUUAGAGUUCCAGCCACUCAACAGGCAAUCAUCGUGGAACUUCUCUGGGCCAGGCGCUGGAGAAACAGGCAGUGGCACACUGGAGAUGACCUACACCGGCUGGGGAGAGCCGAUUGUUAAGUUUUCAGGAAUUGUGCAAGCUGGUCAUCAAACAGCCAUUAAACAAGAUUAAAUGAUAUAAACUUACAAUUAAAUAAAUUAUAUUUUUUAAAAAGGCAAUAAAACUCAUCACUUCCUAAUUAUUUUACUACAUGUUACUAGUAUCUCUGUUCUGGAGGUUAUUUAUGUCUACUGCAGGGGUCGCCAAACUUUUUCUGUAAAAGGGCCAGAUAGUAAAUAUUUCAGGUUUUGCAAGCCAUGAGCUGAAUCUGGUCCCUCAGCCGUUGCGUGCUGACCCCCCGGUCGAUCAUAUUUGUAGGGUGGAGAUACUCCAGAACGGGGUGCAUCUCUUCCCAACUCUUCAGUGAUGCAUGUCUAUAGCCUGAAAUCGGCCAUGGUGGGAAUAUUUUACACCAGGAAAAUUGUCAAAGUCUGUGAAUCAGGGAUUUUCUUUCUUCAGCAAGCUGACUGUUAAACAUUUAUCAUCACACCACCGGACACAACGAUGGCCAGAACUAGAAUGAACCCUGCCUCUGGAGGGUACGGUGGUAGGGUUUGUGCGCCAUUUCAUGGCGGGGUGGGGCAUGGAGGGAGCUGUGCAAAGGCUCCCCUGGAGACCACGUGGAGGAGGAGGAUGCCUACCUACACGGGUGUCUGCUGGAAGGGGCAGGGCUGCUAGAAGUGGGUGCCUCAGUGGACCUCACCUAGGGCUGGCCAUCAGCUCCGAGGCUCUCCUCCCCCACCAGGGACUUUGUUACUUCAUCAAACUCCUUUGUGGGCAGCCAGGGCAGCAGGUCUGUCUUUCCCCUCUGAGUUGGCUCAAGGCGAGACUUCAGGGACCUGAGAGUUGAGAUGUGAGCUCAUGAGGGCAGUCUACAAUCUGUUCACCACAAUACCCCCAGGUCCUUGCACCACUCCACCAGCGUGGCCCGGGGGUGAACCCACAGUGGGUUGCUGAACCGAAGUGGGAGAGGGAGUUCCAGUGAGCAGGAGGCUGGGACUUGACUAUCACCGACUGAGUACCAAUGCCAUCCCCUCUCAUCCUGUCCCAACUGACUGACACGGUCCUACUGCCUGCAAAUCCCCAAGGACCAGGAUAGUCGAGUUUGAUGACCCAUCAUCGCAUAUUCGUUGAGCUCCAACUGUGUGCACACACUGAGCUAGCUCUGCUGUCAACAGGAGUUCCUGCUUUCUGCCCUCAAGGCACUUUUCUGCUUGCAGUGUCUUGGGGGCUCCAUGUCACUGAUUUUAAACUAAAAUCAAGAAAUAUUAUUCUUUAAAGAUGACAUUGAUGGAAUUCAAUACUUUCUUCUUGAGUGCCUGCUCAGGAAAACAUUACAAAGGAGGUGCGGGAAAAACAUGGAAUUUGACGUUAAACAGAACUUCACAUUCAAAUCUUGGCUGGAGGCCCAUACUUGUCUGACUCCCUGAGCCUCAACUUCUCACCCUUAAGAUGGGGAUGAUAAUAAUUCUUGCCUCCUGGGCUGGUUUGGAGGAAGAAAUGGGAAGAAAUAUAUAAAGACCCCAGCAUCGUACCUGGCAUUUGGGUGCCGGCCAUUUUUAUCAUGAUAUUCCUAUUGAAUGUUUACAAAUCGACCACCAUAUCAAGCAUUGUUGAGGAUGUCCACGUGUCCUACAAGAAAUCAGAGAUCCUUUGCACCCUGGUAAAUCUCGUUCUGCUGGAGUUGUGUCCCCAGAAUGGGGCGAGAGGAGGGUCCAUGGAUAUUCCCGAAGUGGACAGCAGCUCCUCUGCCUGUCACAG